rnacentral:rRNA from 1 species
UAGUUGGUGGAGUGAUUUGUCUGGUUAAUUCCGUUAACGAACGAGACCUUAACCUGCUAAAUAGUUGCUUCCUAUAUCUAGGUUGUGAACUUCUUAGAGGGACUUUACGUUCUAAGCGUAAGGAAGUUUGAGGCAAUAACAGG